rnacentral:ncRNA from 1 species
GCUCUGCGCUUGCCCCGGCUGCGCAGGCAGGCCAGUCAACAUGUGGUCAGCCAGUCCUGUCCUCCUCGGGGAAUACUCAGCUUGGUUCGGCAGAACGCCUAGUAGGAAAUCCAAAAGCGCAGCCGAC